rnacentral:tRNA from 1 species
GGGGGUAUGGCGGAAUUGGUAGACGCUACGGACUUGAAAAUCCGUUGGUUUUAUUAACCGUGAGGGUUCAAGUCCCUCUACCCCCA